UACGUAGGGGGCGAGCGUUGUCCGGAUUUAUUGGGCGUAAAGAGCUCGUAGGCGGUUGGGUAAGUCGGGUGUGAAAACUCAGGGCUCAACUCUGAGACGCCACUCGAUACUGCCCUGACUCGAGUCCGGUAGGGGAGCGUGGAAUUCCGGGUGUAGCGGUGGAAUGCGUAGAGAUCCGGAAGAACACCGGUGGCGAAGGCGGCCUGCUGGGCAGUUGCUGACACUGAGGCGCGACAGCGUGGGGAGCAAACAGG
rnacentral:rRNA from 1 species